AUUGAACGCUGGCGGCAGGCUUAACACAUGCAAGUCGAGCGGGGUGAUGGUGCUUGCACUAUCACUUAGCGGCGGACGGGUGAGUAAUGCUUAGGAAUCUGCCUAUUAGUGGGGGACAACAUCUCGAAAGGGAUGCUAAUACCGCAUACGUCCUACGGGAGAAAGCAGGGGAUCACUUGUGACCUUGCGCUAAUAGAUGAGCCUAAGUCGGAUUAGCUAGUUGGUGGGGUAAAGGCCUACCAAGGCGACGAUCUGUAGCGGGUCUGAGAGGGUGAUCCGCCACACUGGGACUGAGACACGGCCCAAACUCCUACGGGAGGCAGCAGUGGGGAAUAUUGGACAAUGGGGGGAACCCUGAUCCAGCCAUGCCGCGUGUGUGAAGAAGGCCUUAUGGUUGUAAAGCACUUUAAGCGAGGAGGAGGCUCUUUUGGUUAAUACCCAAGAUGAGUGGACGUUACUCGCAGAGUAAGCACCGGCUAACUCUGUGCCAGCCGCCGCGGUAA
rnacentral:rRNA from 1 species